UACCAGAGCACUGGGCCUCGUGGCUGGCUGGUGGCUUCCCCUGGAUAAUGAUGUCUUUCUGCCUGUGCCCAGCUGCUGCUCGCUGAUAAUGGAGCCGUUCAAAAGCUGCCUGGUUCCCUUUGGGAGGUGACUGCAGCCCAUCAUCCUGGGGACUCGGAAUGCCAGGGGCUUGUCUAACCUGCAGCUCUCGGCUUUCAACCCGAGCUCGUGCAGUACCUCUGAUGCAAGUCCAAAGAGCACAAAGCGGCAGCACUGCCAAGUUUCAGGAGCAAUUUUCUCCUGUCCUCAUUAAAACCUGUGCUUGUCCUGCCUUCCUACUGCUGCUUCCACUGCUCACAGCUACCUUUUGAGUUUCAGAAGACCAAACACAAAGAUGAAUCGCACAAAGCACCUUUGCCUCCAGUUUCCCAGCUGUGUGGGCUCAGCUUAUUUGUUGCUCAGAGAGUGAAAGAUAUGCCUAAAAUCCUGAGAAUUCAGCAUGGAUUUGCUUGUAGGGGAGUACUGAAACAGCUGCUAGCCUGAAGCAUUGUCUGGUGGGAUUUUUACCAGCUGUCUUCUUUCCACGUGGUUCUCGCCAGGCCUGACAGAUGGGAUGAGCAGUGGCAGGGCUGGGGGAGCAUCCCUGUGCCUGCGUGCCUGGAUGGGGCCCAUCAAGAUCCCCUUCAUAUCAGGACAACAGCGUGGAAAACAUCGCCAAGACAGUGGUGUCCUCACUGUGGCGGCUGCAGGGACAGGAGGAUCAGCUCUGGUAAGUGGAGGAUCAGAGGGUUUAAGGCCAAGAAACCCCUGUCUUAAUGUUCCAGCUCACUUUCUGCAGGAAGCAGCCCAUGAUAACCCCACAAGUGGUAUUUACUGAGGACAGAAGGGAGAAAGGAGAUGAUGGGGAAAACCAGAGAUCAGCUGUGAGACCUUGGGAUCACACUUGUUCUUUUUAAAAAAUUUUUCUUUGCCCAUCCCAAGAAAGCCCCUUCACAUCCUGCAUUAUCUUGCCUGUAAGCAGCAGCUCUUCCAGGAGAUUUAAAUAGACGUGGAGGAGAAAUCCUUCCCCUGCUUGCACCCGGGGUUACCCUGCGCGUCAUCUUCCCGGAGAGAAGCAGCAGUGGCCGUGUGAGAAGAGAAUUGAGCUUUCUGAAUUGCUUCAAAGCCCUGCUCUGCCAACCAGAUUAUUGAUCAAGAGGAAACGUCGGCGUUUCAGAAGCUUCCCCAAAAAGGCACGGAGCCUACUCGGCUCCCGUGCGUCACUGGGGAUUUUUUUAUCCGCGGAUUUUCCGGCGUGUUUAACACAGCCGGGUCGUCCAGGAGGGACCCUGGCAGAAUCUCCCUGCCGAGUGACUCACACUUGCACAUCAUGGGAAUAUGGGUUGACUUCAACAUACUGCACUUUUCAACUCUGAUUCAUGCCACCCCAGGAGAGUAAAUAAGGCAACUCCACACACAUCUCGGCCGUGACGAGCUGCCUUCCCACUGAAAAGGUGUCAAGGCGAAGGACACUGCCAGGGAAUGGUGUCACCUAUAGCUUAGCCAGCGAUUUCCCAAAUAGGAUAAAAUGUCUCUUUGCAUGUAUACCAUGAGUCCCCUUGCAGCCCAGGGUACCUGCUCUCUUGCACAUUGCAGGAGGUCUUUACUAAACCAAAGACGCUGCGCUAAUUCCAGCAAGGUUUUGGCAGGUUUGCUAAAGCCUGGGGACAUUCAUUAGCAACCUGGGGUUGUCACUUUUCAGGCAGAUCGUCUCUCCGCAGAUCACUUCAGAAGGGUGUCUCAAGAAAGCAGAGAGCCUCUCUCGUCUGGAUGAUUCCCAAAUUCAGGGUAAGCCAGGUCGCUGCUGCAGAAGGCGUUACGUGAUGUGUUUAGCACCAUAGAGACAAAAAUCAGGAGCAUAUUUUUUUAACACGAUCUAAAUGAAUUAUGUAUCCGAAAUCAGUUGUUUGGGGAAAAACUCCAGCUGUCAUUACUGGUACCUGAAUGGUGGUGAGUCACCAAAUUACAUCCUUGGGUUGGGGAAACAGCGAGCUGAAUAAGUAGAUGUCUAGUUGCCUGUUUAAGCCAGUGAAGCAAUCCAGCUAAAGCACCUCCUGUACCAGUCAGAUGAUUUCUUCGGUACAAUUUUACUCCAAUCCUGGCUUGCAGCUUUGCCAAGAAAGCCCAAGGAAAGAGCCCAGGUGCUCCUUACAGCUCCUGUUCAGCGUCUGCAGGCAGUGGCAGCCCCUGCCCUGGGUCAGCUCUGGCAGCUCUCUCCAGCACAUGGCUCUGCAAACCCAGUGACUCAGCAGGAAUAUCUUGGCAGAAACCAUCAAAAGAAGGCAGCCUUAGACAUCUCCUGAUAGCAGAUUGUGGAUUUGUGCUUUUUAUUUAGCCUGAUCUGUCAUUGAGACUGUGUAGCUAUCGGUCUCUGCCUGGAGGGAGCUGGAUUACAGGUGAUUUUUCUGAUUGCAGGUCACUGAUGUGAAGAGGUGAAUGUGUUCUUAGGCAGGUUAGCCAAACGGAGGUUAAUUGAAUAAGCAUUAAGUGAAUUGGGGGCUUAAUUCCCAGUGAACGCCAGCUCCUCCAGUUCUUUUCUCCCUUAGGCUUUAAUAAAAAUCUCACUCUUAUCCUGAAACCUGCAAGAGAGAAAUAUCCCCAGCAGCAUAAUUAGCGCAUGCUAUGCCACCACUUACGGUGCUGUAAUAUUGUCUUUCUCUCAAAAUAAGUGAAGAAAGAAAGAACCCCCCCUCA